AUUGAACGCUGGCGGCAUGCUUUACACAUGCAAGUCGAACGGCAGCACGGGUGCUUGCACCUGGUGGCGAGUGGCGGACGGGUGAGUAAUGCAUCGGAACGUGUCCUGAAGUGGGGGAUAACGCAUCGAAAGAUGUGCUAAUACCGCAUAUUCUCUGAGGAGGAAAGUAGGGGAUCGAAAGACCUUAUGCUUUUUGGAGCGGCCGAUGUCUGAUUAGCUAGUUGGUAGGGUAAUGGCUUACCAAGGCGACGAUCAGUAGUUGGUCUGAGAGGACGGCCAGCCACACUGGGACUGAGACACGGCCCAGACUCCUACGGGAGGCAGCAGUGGGGAAUUUUACGCAAUGGGCGAAAGCCUGACGUAGCGACACCGCGUGAGCGAAGAAGCCCCUUGGGGUGUAAAGCUCUGUCAGCUGGACGAAAAAAUGACGGUACCAGCAGAGGAAGCAUCGGCUAACUACGUGCCAGCAGCCGCGGUAAAGUAGUCG
rnacentral:rRNA from 1 species